UACAGAGGUGGCAAGCGUUGUUCGGAAUCAUUGGGCGUAAAGCGCGUGUAGGCGGCCCGAUAAGUCCGCUGUGAAAGUCCAGGGCUCAACCCUGGGAUGCCGGUGGAUACUGUCGGGCUCGAGUCCGGAAGAGGCGAGUGGAAUUCCUGGUGUAGCGGUGAAAUGCGCAGAUAUCAGGAGGAACACCAAUGGCGAAGGCAGCUCGCUGGGACGUGACUGACGCUGAGACGCGAAAGCGUGGGGAGCAAACAGG
rnacentral:rRNA from 1 species